AUUGAACGCUGGCGGCAUGCCUUACACAUGCCAGUCGAACGGCAGCACGGGUGCUUGCACCUGGUGGCGAGUGGCGAACGGGUGAGUAAUACAUCGGAACAUGUCCUGUAGUGGGGGAUAGCCUGGCGAAAGCCGGAUUAAUACCGCAUACGAUCUACGGAUGAAAGCGGGGGACCUUCGGGCCUCGCGCUAUAGGGUUGGCCGAUGGCUGAUUGGCUAGUUGGUGGGGUAAAGGCCUACCAAGGCGAGGAUCAGUAGCUGGUCUGAGAGGACGACCAGCGACACGGGGACUGAGAAACGGCCCAGACCCCUAAGGGAGGCAGCAGUGGGGAAUUUUGGACAAUGGGCGAAAGCCUGAUCCAGCAAUGCCGCGUGUGUGAAGAAGGCCUUCGGGUUGUAAAGCACUUUUGUCCGGAAAGAAAUCCUUGGCCCUAAUACGGUCGGGGGAUGACGGUACCGGAAGAAUAAGCACCGGCUAACUACGUG
rnacentral:rRNA from 1 species